rnacentral:rRNA from 1 species
AUGAAGGACGUGCUAAUCUGCGAUAAGCGCCGGUAAGGUGAUAUGAACCGUUAUAACCGGCGAUUUCCGAAUGGGGAAACCCAGUGUGACACGUCACACUAUCAUUAACUGAAUCCAUAGGUUAAUGAGGCGAACCGGGGGAACUGAAACAUCUAAGUACCCCGAGGAAAAGAAAUCAACCGAGAUUCCCCCAGUAGCGGCGAGCGAACGGGGAGGAGCCCAGAGCCUGAAUCAGCAUGUGUGUUAGUGGAAGCGUCUGGAAAGGCGCGCGAUACAGGGUGACAGCCCCGUACACAAAAGCGCAUGUGCUGUGAGCUCGAUGAGUAGGGCGGGACACGUGGUAUCCUGUCUGAAUAUGGGGGGACCAUCCUCCAAGGCUAAAUACUCCUGACUGACCGAUAGUGAACCAGUACCGUGAGGGAAAGGCGAAAAGAACCCCGGCGAGGGGAGUGAAAAAGAACCUGAAACCGUGUACGUACAAGCAGUGGGAGC